GUGUCAGCAGCCGCGGUAAUACGGAGGUGGCGAGCGUUGUUCGGAAUUACUGGGCGUAAAGGGCGCGUAGGCGGGCGGGGAAGUCGCGUGUGAAAGCCCCGGGCUCAACUCGGGAACGGCGCGCGAGACUCUUCGUCUUGAGUCCCGGAGAGGCGGGUGGAAUUCCUGGUGUAGCGGUGAAAUGUGUAGAGAUCAGGAGGAACACCGGUGGCGAAGGCGGCCCGCUGGACGGAGACUGACGCUGAGGCGCGAAAGCGUGGGGAGCAAACGGGAUUAGAUACCCGGGUAGUCC
rnacentral:rRNA from 1 species